GAGAGCCGGAUGCGGGAAAACCGCACGUCCGGUUCGAUGAGGAGGGGCGAGAAACGCGUGAUGGUCCACUCGGC
rnacentral:ncRNA from 1 species